rnacentral:rRNA from 1 species
UACGUAGGGGGCAAGCGUUGUCCGGAUUUAUUGGGCGUAAAGAGCGUGUAGGCGGCCAGAAAAGUCCGCUGUGAAAACUCGAGGCUCAACUUCGAGCUGUCGGUGGAAACUUUCUGGCUAGAGUCCGGAAGAGGAGAAUGGAAUUCCUGGUGUAGCGGUGAAAUGACGCAGAUAUCAGGAGGAACACCAGUGGCGAAGGCGAGUCCCUGGACAACACCUGACACUGAGGCACGAAAGCUAGGGGAGCAAACAGG